rnacentral:rRNA from 1 species
CCCUUAGAUGUUCUGGGCCGCACGCGCGCCACACUGAUGCAUUCAACGAGUUUCUUCCUGGUCCGAGAGGAAUGGGUAACCUUUUGAAAGUGCAUCGUGAUAGGGAUAGACUAUUGCAAUUAUUGGUCUUCAACGAGGAAUUCCUAGUAGACGUAGUUCAUCAGACUGCAUCGAUUACGUCCCUGCCCUUUGUACACACCGCCCGUCGCUCCUACCGAUCGAAGAGUUAGGUGAAUUGUUUUGAUCGAUAAGAUUUGACUAUGGUCAACUCUCGUUGUGAAAUUCUGUGAAUCUGACUGUUUAGAGGAAGGAAAAGUCGUAACA